UAUAGUUACAAUAAUUUAAUGUGUAGGUGACAAGGCUUUGGAGCCAUGGUUUUCUUAGGUAGCUUUAUUAGGGCAUCGAACUAUUUGGUGCUACAAUUGUUGUAAAUGUCUAACUUUGUAAGAUAUUCAUCAUUGGUUCAUCAUAGUAUGCUUUCUUCUGUGCCUUGUUUCACAGGCUUGCUCUCACUGCUGCUCUAGACAGGGAACGUUGAUGACAACAUACAGGGCCUCUCAGUCUUUAACCCUGACUAUAAAAAUCCAUUGAUGGAAGCCGGGGAGGGCUGAGAUGAACAUCCGGCUCCUGGGUCUAAGCCAUCGAGAUGAUAGAGACGAUGUUUCCAUGUCAUCUACUCCAGCAGCCGGACAAGGCAUAUAAAAACCAUGGAUCCUUGCUCCCCAGGCC